UGAAGCAAGAGCGGAGCCGGCCCAGGGCUCGGCCAGGGGAAGCGGCACUAGUGACCAAGGUCCCAGCUGGUGGGUCCUUCUAGACGUGUCCCCCAGAAACCCUCCCCAGGCCCCAGGCUGAGCCAGCGGCCUGCGUCACACCCCAGGGUCUGCAGAGAAAAGGGUCUGCCACGUGGCCACAUCCACAGGUGUGACCCCACCCGACCGGGCCCCAUCCCCUCCCCCGCCCCGCUGCUUGCUCGUGGGUUGCCAAGGUAACCGUGUGGCAAGGCCACUAGGUCACUGGACCCAGCCUCAUGAGCAUGGUGAUGCCUUCCGCGGGCAACAGGCUGAGUCACCUCCAGAGGCCCUGGGGCUGCGGUGGCCACGGGGAGAGGGGGCUUUGUGGUGUCGGUCCCCGCUGCCCACUGCCUGGGCCUCUCCACAUGCACCGUGUGCCCUUCUGCUCUGCUGCCUUAGGAUGCAGUGGAGACCCUCAGCAGGGCCGGCUCCUGGCUUGGGACCUUGCACCCUUCAGAACUGUGAGCCCAAUGAGCCUCUCCUCUUCUGGAUCACCCAGGCCCCAGGCAGAAUUUAAGGAGCAACACAAAAUGGACUUAGUCCCACUUCACAGGGAGGGAAACUGAGGCUGCCAAGAUCUCAUGACGACCCGAGGUGGCCCUGCAGAGUUGCCCAGGUGGAGCCUGAAGGAGCACCGUUGGGUUUCGCUCUUGCCUCUGUUGGUGGUCUUCUCGUUUCUGCUAAACCAGAUGCAAGCCUGAAACUACCCCGGGGACCAUCACCCGGAAGCUGGGUGGGACGCCGCUACAUCCAGACGGUGGACUUCGUGAAGAGCGCUCUCGAGGCUGAUCUGGAAAGAGCCCCCCCUCCAAGUGCUGAUGGCCUUCCCUCCCAGUAGACGUGGUGGAUUGCGUUACUGUCAAAGUCUUCCUUUUAUUGGCUGUUCCCCGACGACCCUCCCUGCUGGAGUCAGGCCUGGCUGUGACCUCCUUUGGCCGAUCCGUGUGAGCUAAGCUCCCUAGGAGAAGCCUCCGGAGCCAUCCCUGGGUCUCCAUUUGAUCUCUUCUCUCUGCUGGGACAGCGGCCUACCCCAGGGGCGCCCGCACCUCCAACAGGGACCUGAGCAAAGGAGGCCCCCGGACCAGAGCUGCAGCCAGCCCCCACCAACGAGUCCUCUGAAUGACAAACUCGCCUUGCGGGAGCACCUCCGGGGAAUCCGAGUUUUACUGCAGCGACGCCUAGCCCCGGUGGACUGACGCACUGGACACAAAGUUUCCU